CAGCGUUCUCAGGGCGGGGUGAAAGUCCCCACCGGCGGUGAUGGCGAUUUUUUCGCAUAAGCCCGCGAGCGCCCGGUUCUCCUCGAAGUCUGCGAGAGCCGGGGUCAGCAGAUUCGGUGCAACUCCGAAGCCGACGGUCAUAGUCCGGAUGAAAGAGAGCGCGA
rnacentral:ncRNA from 1 species